GGGGGUGGGCUGGGGGGGGGGGGGCUGGCGCGGCCGACCGAGCUUUGGCCGCGCUCUCCAGGCACGGUGGGGCGCACUCCGACCCUCAAGAGAAAAACCACGCGGAAAAUGGCGCCUUAAAGUGCCCGCGCCCACCUUUCCGAAGUGCGCGGCCCAGUGCACGGGCGUCCAGCCGUAGAAGGAGUCCUCGGCGGCCAGGUUCUCACGUGGGGAAGUCAAGGCAGCAGGACCUAAAAACAGCCGGUCAUGUCACAUACACAGUCUGGAGCAGAGAGUAAUGAAUACAUGGAGUUUCCUGAGAGGCUCGGAGCUCCCUGUUGGCUGUGAAUGUCCACGUAAUGAAGUCCAAGGGACCGACAUCUCCCUUUAACAGCUAAGCUGGGGACCAAAACCAGGACCUUGCGCUUGCUAGGCAAGCACUCCACCACUGAGCUAAAUCCCCAACCCCCCUUCCUUUUCUUAAGGCCCAGGCUGGCCUUGAACUCUGUAGCUGAGGACAACCUCCACCUACGAACUGGCUGAGAUUACAGGCGUGCAUCACCAUGCGUGGAUUAUGUAGUGCUGGGGUUGGACCCAGGGCGUUGUACAUGCUCUGAGAGCACCCUGCCCACUGAGCUAGAUCUUCAGCCCAGACGACAAUGUUUUCAUGGUUUUGCUUUCCGUUUCUCCCUCCUUUCCCUCCUCCUCUCUGAUGAUUCACAUGUGCGUCUGCCCCAGGAGAGCACCCCUUGACACGGCGUGAUGUGCAGCCAGGCCCCUGGGCGGUCUGCGGCAGGGCGAGUCUGCACAUAGCAUCAACCAUCAUGGCCCUAGCUUUGCUUUCUCCCCCAGCUAGGGGGACGGAGAGCACCUGAGGCAGGAAGAGUGGCGAAAGGCAGCAGAUAUCUCUGUCCCCAAACAGUGACUUCAGGUGGUUUUGGUUUCUGGACCCUUUCAAAACUUGUAGUGGGUAGCCAUUCCAGCUUUGGUCUGGAAGUUCCAACCCCCAUUGAGGCUUCUGUAACUAUCACGCCUACAAGGCGGGGCCAAGAGAGGAUGCUGAAGACCCGAGAUUCGGAUGCGCCACCUUCGCUCUGUUCCUGGACCCUCGACGGUGGUGGAGGUUGACCGAGCAGAGUUCUCCAGAGAACACCGCUGGGCUGCGACACACCUUCCCCAGAACCUGCGACCUACCUAUCCCGUCAUUUGAAAAACCAGCCGAUUCAACCCCCGAUUGGACUCCGUCAGAUCUUAACCCCAGCCUCUGAAGAGUUCUAAAGCAUCCUUGACGUGGCUUCUGCAGAUGUUGGUUCAAGAACAGGAACUGGGCUUCAUGUCACUCCACCUCACAGGACCUCAGGACACCUCAGACAGAAAGUGACUCCCCUUCUUCCCACUGCACUGUGCUUGUUUUUAGCCAAAGCCACAGAUGAGUGACCUAGGCUCAGAGAGUGAGCUAGGCUCUGUUUUCUGUCUCAUCGUUGAGUGUGAUCUGAAAGGUACACACUCCAUCGCAUCUAACCUCACCUGCCUUCGCCACCGACAUUAAAGUGGGGUGUGCUCUCUCCUCUUCCGCACGGUCACAUCUUGGCCCCUGAGGAUGGGGUCCUCCAUCAGUAAUCCCUCUGUCCCAACUGAAAGCCGCUUCCUUGAGAAGAGAACCUGUGAAUGCCCGUGCAAAAGAUGGCUGAGUGAUGCAACCCAGCAACACCUCCGGAAAAUAGUCCCGUUAUGUCCACGUUCUAGAACUUUUAGCAGAAAAGCUAGGGCGAAUGAAUGGGCGUCCAAGGACACAGGGGUAGUGUAAAUCUGUGAGUGAUCACAGCUGAGGUUAGCUGGCUGUGCACGCCUGUGGAACUCGAUUGUGCACUGACAAUAGGCUUAGGGGUGUGAGUGACAUGUCAGCAAGCCUCACCCCCAUAAAUACGUAUAUAUGUAUACAUAGGUAUUCAUGCACAUGCCUGUGUUCACAAACAUGAAUAAAGUGAAUAGAAGUGGAUGUGCUGCUUCUCAUUAGCAUCAUUAAGGAAGUGAAAAUAACCUCAGUGGCUGGGAACAGACACUAAAUUCAACCAGACGAGUUAAAUCUUCCGUGCUCACUCUCUGUGAUGGUGGUUGUGUCGAUCAUUUGCUAAACCACUGAGCCACGAAGAGGACUCAUCCAUCUCCCUCUCCUUUAGCUGGCUACCGAGUCCCGGAAGCACGGGCUUUCCCAGCAGACAAGGCCUGGUCUCCACACUGUGCACUCAGCCCUGUCUGGAAGCUUCUAUCCGGGACCAUCUCAGCAUGAGGUCCGGGUCCAGCAUAGUCCCUCAAGGCCAGUGACGUGGUGUCUCCUCCUGGUCCAGCUUGUCCUGUGACACUUCUGCUGUGGAAGCCCUUGAGCAGAGCCGGAAGGGACAAGCAGGUGACACCUCUCAGCUGUCUCUGUUUUCUCAUCUGUCUAACAAACAGUGACAAGAACCAUGCAGUACUAACACCUCAGAGUUCUGUGAGUGAUAAGCACGUGUCACAUGGGUGUAACAGCUCACAGUGUGCUCAGUAGUGAGCCGAGGCCGGUGCUUAUGGUUUCAUGCCUCACAAUUUACACGUGUUUGUCCCAGUACAUAAGCAUGUACAUGCAUAUACACGCGUUUAUACAUUCCACAUAUGCAUAUACUGCCACACAAACACCUUCACACAUCCACAUCCAUAUACAUGCACCACACAUGUACACACACACACACACACCUGUAAACACAAAUAGACACACACACACACACACACACACACACACACACACACACACACACACUGCCUCUGCUCCUGUCCCCAGCAUAUCUCCCACAUCCUUGAACUCAUCUCUUAGCAGCCCUUUAUCCACAGCAAGAACUGAGCAGGGAAGUGACGGUUGCUCCAGGGAUGGCGGUGGCCCCUUCCACACUGCACCAAAGCAAUCCACGGAGGGAAUCCUGAAAAAUGAGAGAAAGCAGGAUCCAGAUCUUGACGGCGGCGCUGUGAAUGUGGAACUAGAGAUCCCUCCCAGCUGCCUUUGCCCACCAACACAGCCUGACCUUCCUUGAGGCCACUGCCUCCCAGGGAGUGCUGAGUUCCCUUCAGAGCCCACCAGUGGCUUGGCUUUGUUCUAUACCUGUAACUUGAUUGCAGCCCAGCAGAACCAGCUCCCCCCCAGGGUGGAAGGUCAUCUUCUGGUUGAGGCAGAAGUCUGGGGACAAGUGCGGUGGGGGAGGGAUCUGGCCAUGGUCCCUGCUGUGCCUACAGCACAGAUAUUCAGGGUACAAGGGUUCAAGCAGAAACAUCUGGAUUCUGGGCAUGCUGUUGUGAGGUAUGUCCACAAGAGACCACCACACGAACAUGCUUAAAUGCUGGUUGGUGACUGCAUGGGGGACUUGCCCAAACCAUGCAGCCUCGAGCCAUAUAUCCCUUUGUCUUUUAUGCACAAAAGUCACAUCCUUGUUGUCACACUUCCAUUAGCACAAAAACAGAACUACACGAAGCCAUAAAGCAAGGUUCAUAUAUUUGGGCCUUUCCUGGAACUAUGGACCAGGUCUUUGAUGGAUUAGGUCUUUGAUGCUGUUUUAGCAGGAGUUGAGAGUCCAUGGGGUCUCUUGGUCAGAUGCCUCUAACAUGGCGUCAGUUAUGCUGAGGUCUUUGAGUCUGUUACAGUGUGGGCAGAGGAUGGCCGUGAGUUGGGGCCGGAACCACACAGGAGCCUGAGCCAGCAGGGCUGUCAGCAGCCACAGCCCUGAUUCACCCUCAGCUUGAACUCUGCAGGACACGUGGACGCAAACCUAGUCAGGCUCUCCUGCAGUCACCUCACUGCCAACACAGCUGUGUCUGCUCUGCCGAGGCUGCAGCAGGGUCCCCUGUACCUCCUUGUGGCAUCAAGAUGCAGAGAGCCCUGCAGAAGGGACAGACUGCCUGCUGGAGAGGAGCUGCCUGCUCCACACACCCCAGGAUGGAGGAAGAAGGACAGAAUCACAUGCGAUGUGCAUGUGGGACUGCACGCGUGUGCCUUGUGUGUGCCUGUGUGGCUGCUGGGGUGUGGAGAGGAUACAGGGACUCUCGGAGGCGGGAAUGUCCAGAGUUGGACAGAGAGGGUGGCCUGGGUGCUUUUCAUCAGGACACCUGCUGUCUCAGAGGAACCCAUGGGAGGACAGACCAGGAGAGCCGCUGUGCCGCGGGCACCCUCUGCUGGCUGACUUGGCAUCUUACACCCCCAGCCCCAGGGAUAGGAAAUUCACCCAACUGAGAAAACUGGUGUUUGGAGGGAGGUAAGUGUUAGUGAGAAAGAGGACUUCUGUAUCAACGAACAGUAGAACUUGGGGAGCCCUGUGUAAGCUCAGUUCCCUAUCAUUCCCAGCCUGCCCAGGUCACAUUUCUAUAGUUGCUGUUCAGGAAACUGUGGCCCUGAGGCAGGGACGGCUCUCACUUUUAGAAAUGUCUGGCUUUCUCCCUCUGGGCUCCUUCCUGCUUUGAGAAAUCUCAACACUUGGGGGCAUUUGGCGCUGCCCUGGAAUGAGGUCUCUCAUUGGCUACAUAAAGGCCAAAGGCCAGGCUGCCCUCUGUCCUGUCCUAAAGAAGGUCUCUCCAGCCGGGCGGUGGUGGCACAUGCCUUUAAUCCCAGCACUCAGGAGACAGAGCCAGGUGGAUCUCUGUGAGUUCGAGGCCAGCCUGGUCUACAGAGUGAGAUCCAGGACAGGCACCAAAGCUACACAGAGAAACCCUGUCUUGAAAAACCAAACCAAAUCAACAUACAAACAAAAAGAAGGUCUCUCCAAAGAGCUAUGCCUUGAGGGAAGAGGGAGAGCAGAGCUCUCCUCCAAUUCUCUUCCUUCAUGCACAUACGCCUCAGUUUUCCCCAAGGUUUGUCUCAGAAGUCGAAAUUACUUAGAUCCACCCCCUUUUACAGGGGCUUAUGACUAUAAAGGGAAUCGGUUGGAUAAAUCAUGGGGGAAAAGAAUGUGGAAUCAGUUGCCUUUUAUGGGAAGGCUGAUUAGAAGCAGAAAGGUAUAGUGUACAUAUGAUAGGCAGACAAGGUCAGCUAUAUUGAGGGGUAUAGCACCUGUGCUAAAGAGGUGGGCUAAGGCUCUUGGCGAGGACUUUGUAACUGUCUUUAAUAAAUUACUAGAAAUGGAUCACUAGUUAUUGAGUACAUGAUCUGGCUCUUAGGGUUCAGGCCACAGCAUGUCUCUGCCUGAAAGGAUUAAUCAUUCUGAAAACCACAUUGUGUGACCACAAAAGAUUGCAUCUAUUGUUUUCCUUUUGCCCCUGGACUUAGUUCCUUGUUAAGAUUGCACAAAAUCUCAGCCUGAUGUUCAGUAAAUUUGCAGCAGUUUCACAGCAUA